CUUCUUCUUUUUCCUCUUUUUUUCCUCUUCUCUUUUCUCUCUCUUUCUCUCUCUUCUCUCUUGCUCUUUCAUUCUGACACCACUGAAUAAUUUCAGUGGCCAAUGCAGAAGAAAAAGAUGGGAAUGACUCAGAACAGGAAUUUGCAUCUUGAAAAGCACUCCAAGCAUUGAUAAGAGAGGAAGUG
rnacentral:ribozyme from 13 species